rnacentral:lncRNA from 1 species
CGAAUUUAGAAUUCUAGGACUGGAAUUCCAGGCAAGCAGAGCUGCCAAAAUCCUUCUCUACGCGUUCCACUUCCCCUUUACACCGCAUGGGCGGACACUUGGCCACCGCCGGGGCCUUGGGGUGAGCACACGCUCAGGAGGAUGGACCUAAAGAAACGCUUUUGCAAGCCCUGAAAACAACAGUGAUGAAGUAGAACUGCAUGUAACAAUAUGGAUACAUCUGAAAAAUACGCUGUUAAAUGAGCAAAACAGAUUGCAGACGGAUAGCACAAGCUCAGCCCAGCACUAUGUUUUUCAAUCCUCUUAGCAUUGGAAUAAUCCAAGGAACUUAAAAACAUACACACAUAAAACGAUGUGGGAACGUCACCCCCGGGAAUUCUGAUUCUGCUGGUCUAGGGUCAGACACAAGCACAGCAUUCUGAGCCCUCAAGACGAAAGGAGAGAGGAAAGAAGAAAGGAAGGAAGGAGGGCAGCAAGAGAGGGUGAAGAGAGUGAGGGAGGAAGAGCCAAGACUACAAUGCAUUCUUAAAGUUUCAGCAAGGCUGACAGGAAGUCCCCAAGGACAUCCAUCAGAAGAGUCCCCACUCCCAGGAAAGGACCUACCUCGAUGUCCCUACUGUGCUCAGCCACUGGCUGAGGUGGCUGUGAAAUCAUGAUAUUGGUGCAAACACAUGGUGAUUUCAGAGCACAGCAGCCGGGGAUAUCCCUCAAUUACACUCCCUGCAGUAGAUCUGAGAGGAGCCUUUUCAUGGCCUCCACAGUCUUACUUGUUAGUCAAGACUUAAUCAAACAAAAAAUUUGAUUUCCUUCAACUCCUCAAGUGUACUUUAAGGUCCUGUUCUGUUUCUGGACUCUACACUUUUCCCCCCUGCAGCAUUCUCCACACUGAACCGGUCCCCCAUCCUUCCCCUUCAUAAAUGACUCUACAUGGGCUAAAUCUAGGUACAGGGAGGCCUUCUCUUGAGCCGCCCACUGAGCAUUCUAUCUCAAGGCCCUGCUCCCACCUCAAAUUCAGCUGGUUCUAAACCAGACUCAUCAUCUCCUGAAAAAUAUUCCUCACUUCUCUCCUUCCCUCCUUCCUUCCUUCUCUCCUCCCCUCUGCUUUCUAAGGGUCAGAGCUCUCCCAACCUCCUCCUGCUCCUUCCCCAUUUCCCCUCAGAGGCUUCACCCAGUAAAUCUCUCCGAUGUCUCACCCUGUCUGGGCAUCUGCUUCUCAGAGGACUUGACUAACAUGAGACUUAAAUCAGCCCAUGAGUGGGGACUUCUCUCAAUAUUUCUUUGGCAUUUCUCACAGUGCUGGACAGCCAGACUCUCUCCUUGGGAAUUACAUAAUUGCACAUGUGGAAUGACUUGGGGAGACCCAAGGAAGGUUUCCCCAAGUGUGUGACCCCUGACACCAACCUACUAUGUGACCUUAGCCAACUUACUUCACCUCUUAGCCCAUUAAUUUUCUCACCAUAAAAUGAGUGGUUAAAUUCAAUGUAAAUUCACACAAAGUCCC